AUCGAAUUUAUUCAAUUAAUUGGAUUUCGGCAAUUAUGCUCACCUCUACCACUAUUUUUCUCUCCCGGCCCGACAGCAAACACUAGCACUUCCAUCAUCGACCUGAACUCUUCCUAACAAUUCUUCUCUACUCCCCAACAACACUGCUGUCGUCGACCACCAUUCCGGGGAAACCGUCGCCAUCUCCAAUCUCUCCCACGCCCUCUUAUGCAUCGGUUUUUGCGAAGACGAUAUUCUCCUCACCAUCGCCCCCAAAUCCAUCUACAUCCCCUUGCGCUUCGUUGCAAUCAUCACUCUUGAAUCGCGAUCGCCGUUAAUUCCUCUUAUUCCGUUCGCGAGAUUUCGCGACUCUGAAUCUGAAGGUCGUCAAUAGCAUAUUUACAAAACCAUUCCCACUGAUUUUGCCGUAGCAGGUUCAGCAGUUUGUCAGCCUCCUCCUAUUUCUCGAAUAUAGGAAACAGUGGAGUCUAUCAUGGACGAUGAGUUCACGACGUUUCCUGAUGGUGGUUUUCUUCACUACUUGGUUCAGUGGAGUGGUCAUCCCGAUUUAGAUGCUACAUGGCUUGCCAAGGAUGAUGUUCAUGACAGCGCUCUUGACUUGCUAGAGUCAUAUUUGCAGUCCCACUCCAUGGAACAGAAUUCUUUUUCAGCCAAGGUUAAAUGAUGAAGGACCAACUAUAUCCCCUAGGCCGUCCAUUGGGAACACACAUUUUAGGUGUAAGCUUAUUGAAAAGGUUUAGGAAAUAUGUGUGGAAGACCUUUUUUGUAUUUUUUUAGUGACUUCUUUUUUGAAUUGUAAUACUAUCCUUACAUCAUUAUGGCAUUGAAUAGUUUGUUUGGUAAUGUACAAUCGAAAGAGUCUAAACUUCAAAUCCAACCUCUUGGUGAGAUUGUUGAA